GAGAGUUAAAUAGUACGUGAAAUUGUUGAAAGGGAAACGAUUGAAGUCAGUCAUGCUAGUGAAAAAUCAGUUUGACGGGUUUUGAGUUCGGGAGUAGAGGCAGGGUCAAACCGUUUCUCUUUUGAACUUGGGAUUUGUUAGAUGUACUUUUUCUUUGGCAGGUCAGCGUCGAUUUCGAAGGUUGUAAAAUACUUGGGGGAAAGUAGCUCUGCUUCGGGAGAGUAUUAUAGACCCUGGGGGAUGCAGCCUGCGGGAUCGAGGAUUGCAGCAAAUGCCUUUGGCUUGUCGCCUGAUCUCUGGAUGUUACCUCGCUUGUGACAACAUUCUUGCCACCUGUGGGUACUAAUGCCCAUUAGGUUAGAGCGAUCAAAAAUUUUGCUAAGGAUGCUGACGUAAUGGCUUUAAACGA
rnacentral:rRNA from 1 species